rnacentral:misc_RNA from 1 species
ACCAAGUAAUCUCAAAAGGGUGCGGCUAUAGAAAGCUCGAGCUCAUAUAAGAAUGACUGUUAACCAUUAGAUUAAAUAUUUGCAUCUAGAUUCAUGCAUUUAUUAAUACAUUUUAAUUAAUUUUGCACAAAUGUACAUAGAAAUAUUUCAUCUAAUUGUUAUUAAGCUCGCCCUAACAUGAGGUAACGCUUAUAUUAGAUGCAUCCAUCUAAAAUUAAAUCUAAAAGCACAAACUAUGCACACAUGCAUGCCAAUAUUUAUACACUUAGUGAUACCUAAUGGCAUUUGAAAGAUUGCAACAGAAAAGUCCAGG